rnacentral:lncRNA from 10 species
UGCGGUUUCACCAUGUUAGCCAGGCUGGUCUCAAACUCUGGACCUGAAGUAAUCCGCCCGCCUCAGCCUCCCAAAAUGCUGGGAUUACAGGCAUGAACUGGCCAUCUUCUUUGCUUCCUUGCUCCAUGAGUUCCGAUCAAGGCAUGGGAUGGUGGGCUCCAUUUCAGUCGUAAUUUCCAAAAUCCACAGCCUGGAAAAAUCUAGACGCUGAUUUUCAGAGACUCCCCAUGGCUGCCGCAAGGGGGCGCAUGGCCCCUGGCAACUCGGGGCGCCGUGCACGCACCGCGUCUCAUCCACACAGCGGCAGUCACUUUGCGGCCACUAUGAGGACUGAGCUUCCUCUCCCCAGGACCCGCAUGGGAGAGACCGCGGCUUCGAGACACCUGGGGACACCUGGGGACACCUGGGGCGGCGUCCGCGGUGAGGACUGGGAGACGCUGCUGCAUCUCCGGGACACCACUUGGGGCCGAGGCCAAGGACCCACCCAGGAGGGGCCAUGGCUUCGAGACACCUGAGGAGACCUGGGGCCACGUCCGCGAUGAGGACAUCUCUGGGACACCUGGGGCUGCAUCUCCGGGACACCUGGGGCUGACCCUGGUACGGGGAAAGGAGGAGGAACACAGAGAUGCCCUCGUGAGGUCGGGGACCAGCAGGCACCGCAGUCUAAGGCCAAUGAAACAGGCGCCCCUAGAUGAGUGCUCGGUGUUUGUUUUGUUUUGUUUUCUUUUGAGAAGGAGUUUCGCUCUUGCUCCCCAGGCUGGAGUGCGAUGUCGCGAUCUCGACUCACUGCAACCUCUGCCUCCCGGGUUCAAGCGAUUCUCCUGCCUCAGCCUCCCGAGUAGCUGGGGUUACAGUCAUGCGCCAUCACGCCCGGCUAAUUUUGUAGUUUUAGUAGAGACGGUGUUUCUCCAUGUUGAUCAGGCUGGUCUCGAACUCCUGAUCUCAGGUGAUCCACCCACCUCGGCCUCCCAAAGUGCUGGAAUUACAGGCGUGACCCACUGGGCCCGGCCAGUGCUUUGUGUUUUAAGGCUCUUUUGUUAACGCAGUGGAAACAACACAGGAAAUGGAAAAGCAGGCACAUUAUCAUUCUCAGGCCACUGCAUUUAGCCUGGGCGACAGAGCGAGACCUUGUCUCAAAAAACAAAAACAAAUGAAAACAAAAACAAACCAUUUUGUGUGUCUAAUGGAAGUCACCUCGUCAACAACAGUCUUUUGUUGAGAAAGUCUGUUUAAUUGGCAGUGUAUUUGUAAUGGUACAUAAAAUGACGUCUGCUUUAUAAGCAUUCUCAUUCCUAUAUUAGAUGAAAUGUAUUAACUAUAUCAAGCUUUGAUAUUAUACCAUAAAAUUACUUGAAGAAAGUCACUACUCUUUUUUUUCCUUUACCUUGACCAUUUUAAAUAAAAUCAUAUUUCAU